ACCUACGGGGGGCAGCAGUGGGGAAUAUUGCACAAUGGGGGAAACCCUGAUGCAGCAACGCCGCGUGAGUGAUGACGGUCUUCGGAUUGUAAAACUCUGUCUUCAGGGACGAUAAUGACGGUACCUGAGGAGGAAGCCACGGCUAACUACGUGCCAGCAGCCGCGGUAAUACGUAGGUGGCAAGCGUUGUCCGGAUUUACUGGGCGUAAAGGGAGCGUAGGUGGAUAUUUAAGUGGGAUGUGAAAUACUCGGGCUUAACCUGAGUGCUGCAUUCCAAACUGGAUAUCUAGAGUGCAGGAGAGGAAAGUAGAAUUCCUAGUGUAGCGGUGAAAUGCGUAGAGAUUAGGAAGAAUACCAGUGGCGAAGGCGACUUUCUGGACUGUAACUGACACUGAGGCUCGAAAGCGUGGGGAGCAAACAGGAUUAGAUACCCUAGUAA
rnacentral:rRNA from 1 species